rnacentral:rRNA from 1 species
UCAGACGAUGCGUCAUGCAUAUCAAUAAGCGGAGGAAAAGAAACUAACAAGGAUUCCCUCAGUAACGGCGAGUGAAGCGGGAAGAGCUCAAAUUUGAAAUCUUGAAAGGUCACCUUUCACGAAUUGUAGUUUAAAGAAGUGUUUUCUGUUACGAUCGUAAUAUAAGUUCUUUGGAAUAGGACAUCAUAGAGGGUGAGAAUCCCGUAUGAUUGACCGAUUUGUCAGCUUUGUGAUACACUUUCAAAGAGUCGGGUUGUUUGGGAAUGCAGCCCAAAACGGGAGGUAAAUUUCUUCUAAGGCUAAAUAUUGGCGAGAGACCGAUAGCGAACAAGUACCGUGAGGGAAAGAUGAAAAGAACUUUGAAAAGAGAGUUAAAUAGUACGUGAAAUUGUCAAAAGGGAAGCGUUUAACACCAGUGUUGUUUUCUGAAAAUCAACCUCUGUUAGCUUUAUGCAUGUUUGUUUAGACCUAAUCAGCUAUCUUGCAUGUUCUAUUGUUUGCAGUGGUGCACUUUUCAGUUUACAGGUCAACAUCAGUUUUUUUUACCGUAAAAAAGUUAAAGAAAGGUAGCUCAUGGCUCCGGUCGUGAGUGCUAUAGUCUUUUUCCUAUGCGGUAGGAGAGACUGAGGUCUGCAGUGUAGGCUAUUUGGCUAGAUACUCAGGUGCUAUGUGAUACCAUUUCAUAAACAACUUAUUGAUUAUGUUUUGUCUAUUGCAUACUCGCUUGUACUAUCAUACCUACGCUUAGGAUGUUGAAGACUCUACAGAGAUA